GCCUCGGUGGCGGAUGGUCCGCGUCUACAAUUAAUACUGCUGAGCGAAAUCAAAGAAAGUAUUGGGCAGAAGUAGCUCGUUCGAUUCGAGCCCGAGGCA